rnacentral:rRNA from 1 species
UGGAGGAGUGAUUUGUCUGGUUAAUUCUGUUAACGAACGAGACCUUUACCUGCUAAUAGUUACAUGCAACCUCGGUUACAUGGGUAACUUCUUUAAGGGACUUUAUGUGUCUAACGUAAGGACGUUUGAGGCAAUAACA